rnacentral:rRNA from 1 species
AACGCGAAGAACCUUACCAACCCUUGACAUGGGGAUCGCGGGACCAGAGAUGGUCCUUUCAGUUCGGCUGGAUCCCACACAGGUGCUGCAUGGCUGUCGUCAGCUCGUGUCGUGAGAUGUUCGGUUAAGUCCGGCAACGAGCGCAACCCACACUUUCAGUUGCCAUCAUUCAGUUGGGCACUCUGGAAGAACUGCCGGUGAUAAGCCGGAGGAAGGUGUGGAUGACGUCAAGUCCUCAUGGCCCUUACGGGUUGGGCUACACACGUGCUACAAUGGUGGUGACAAUGGGUUAAUCCCCAAAAGCCAUCUCAGUUCGGAUUGGGGUCUGCAACUCGACCCCAUGAAGUCGGAAUCGCUAGUAAUCGCGUAACAGCAUGACGCGGUGAAUACGUUCCCGGGUCUUGUACACACCG